AAUCAACGCUGGCGGCGUGCCUCAGACAUGCAAGUCGAACGCGAAAGUCCCCUUCGGGGGAUAAGUAGAGUGGCGUCCGGGUGAGUAACACGUAGGUAAUCUACCUUCGGGUGGGGAAUAACCCAGGGAAACUUGGGCUAAUACCGCAUAAUGCAGCGGCACCACAUGGUGACAGUUGUUAAAGCGGGGGAUCUUCGGAUCUCGCGCCUGAAGAGGAGCCUGCGGCAGAUUAGCUAGUUGGUAAGGUAAUGGCUUACCAAGGCGACGAUCUGUAGCCGGCCUGAGAGGGCGGUCGGCCACACUGACACUGACAUACGGGUCAGACUCCUACGGGAGGCAGCAGUCGGGAAUUUUGGGCAAUGGGCGAAAGCCUGACCCAGCAACGCCGCGUGAAGGAUGAAAUCCCUCGGGAUGUAAACUUCGCAAGAAUGGGAAGAAUUAGUAGGGGUUAAUACCCUCUAUGAUGACGGUACCAUUUGUAAGCUCCGGCUAACUCCGUGCCAGCAGCCGCGGUAAUACGGGGGGAGCAAGCGUUGUUCGGAUUUACUGGGCGUAAAGGGCGCGUAGGCGGUCAGCACAAGUCAGUUGUGAAAUCUCCGGGCUUAACUCGGAAAGGUCAACUGAUACUGUGCGACUAGAGUGCGGAAGGGGCAACUGGAAUUCUCGGUGUAGCGGUGAAAUGCGUAGAUAUCGAGAGGAACACCUGCGGCGAAGGCGGGUUGCUGGGCCGACACUGACGCUGAUGCGCGAAAGCCAGGGGAGCGAACGGGAUUAGAUACCCCGGUAGUCCUGGCCUUAAACGAUGGAUGCUUGGUGUCUGGAGUUUUAUAGUCUCCGGGUGCCGCAGCUAACGCGUUAAGCAUCCCGCCUGGGGGAGUACGGUCGCAAGACUG
rnacentral:rRNA from 1 species